UACGAAGGGGGCUAGCGUUGCUCGGAAUCACUGGGCGUAAAGCGCACGUAGGCGGACUCUUAAGUCGGUGGUGAAAUCCUGGAGCUCAACUCCAGAACUGCCUUCGAUACUGGGAGUCUCGAGUUCGGGAGAGGUGAGUGGAACCGCGAGUGUAGAGGUGAAAUUCGUAGAUAUUCGCAAGAACACCAGUGGCGAAGGCGGCUCACUGGCCCGAUACUGACGCUGAGGUGCGAAAGCGUGGGGAGCAAACAGG
rnacentral:rRNA from 1 species